rfam:Gossypium hirsutum cultivar TM-1 unplaced genomic scaffold scaffold5284.1, whole genome shotgun sequence
GCCGAUAUAGCUCAUUUGGUAGAGUAUCUGAUUUGUAAUCAGGUGGUAUCAGGUUCGAGUCCUGAUAUCGGCA